UGUUUGAUGUUCUAACGUGGACCCGUGAUCCGGGUUGCGGACAGUGUCUGGUGGGUAGUUUGACUGGGGCGGUCUCCUCCUAAAGAGUAACGGAGGAGCACGAAGGUUGGCUAAUCCUGGUCGGACAUCAGGAGGUUAGUGCAAUGGCAUAAGCCAGCUUGACUGCGAGCGUGACGGCGCGAGCAGGUGCGAAAGCAGGUCAUAGUGAUCCGGUGGUUCUGAAUGGAAGGGCCAUCGCUCAACGGAUAAAAGGUACUCCGGGGAUAACAGGCUGAUACCGCCCAAGAGUUCAUAUCGACGGCGGUGUUUGGCACCUCGAUGUCGGCUCAUCACAUCCUGGGGCUGAAGUAGGUCCCAAGGGUAUGGCUGUUCGCCAUUUAAAGUGGUACGCGAGCUGGGUUUAGAACGUCGUGAGACAGUUCGGUCCCUAUCUGCCGUGGGCGCUGGAGAACUGAGGGGGGCUGCUCCUAGUACGAGAGGACCGGAGUGGACGCAUCACUGGUGUUCGGGUUGUCAUGCCAAUGGCACUGCCCGGUAGCUA
rnacentral:rRNA from 1 species